ACUCCCUAAAUGCCAGUUCUUUUGUUAUGGUUGAAGUGUGGAUCUUCAGUGAAAACAAUAAUGCAUCCCUUAAGUGUUUUACUAGUGGUACUCUGGCUCCAGCUGAGGGGGGUGAGGAGCCAGCAGAAGGUGCAUCAGAACCCAGAAUUCCUCAGCGUCUCAGAAGGAUCCAUGGCCUCUCUCAACUGCACUUUCAGUGAUAGUGCUUCUCAGUCCUUCUGGUGGUACAGACAAAAUCGUGGGAAAGAACCCAAGGCUCUGAUGUCCAUCUU